UAAACCAUGCACCGAAGCUGCGGCAGCGACACUAUGUGUUGUUGGGUAGGGGAGCGUUCUGUAAGCCUGCGAAGGUGACCUGUGAGGGUUGCUGGAGGUAUCAGAAGUGCGAAUGCUGACAUAAGUAACGAUAAAGCGGGUGAAAAGCCCGCUCGCCGGAAGACCAAGGGUUCCUGUCCAACGUUAAUCGGGGCAGGGUGAGUCGACCCCUAAGGCGAGGCCGAAAGGCGUAGUCGAUGGGAAACAGGUUAAUAUUCCUGUACUUGGUGUUACUGCGAAGGGGGGACGGAGAAGGCUAUGUUAGCCGGGCGACGGUUGUCCCGGUUUAAGCAUGUAGGCUGAUUGUCCAGGCAAAUCCGGAUAAUCAAGGCUGAGGUGUGAUGACGAGGCACUACGGUGCUGAAGUAACAAAUGCCCUGCUUCCAGGAAAAGCCUCUAAGCAUCAGGUAACAUCAAAUCGUACCCCAAACCGACACAGGUGGUCAGGUAGAGAAUACCAAGGCGCUUGAGAGAACUCGGGUGAAGGAACUAGGCAAAAUGGUGCCGUAACUUCGGGAGAAGGCACGCUGGUGUGUAGGUGAAG
rnacentral:rRNA from 1 species